rnacentral:rRNA from 1 species
CACUCCAUGUGUGAUCACUCGUUUACGUGACGAUGARAGUGCACAACUGUGUACCAAAUUGUGAACGCAAACUGUUCGAUCAUCGGUCUCUCGAACGCAAAUGCGGCUAAGGGCUUGCUCUUAGCCACGUUCGAUCGAGUGUCGGCU